rnacentral:tRNA from 1 species
GACGUUGUAGUUUAAUUGGAAGAAUGCUCGCCCGUCAGGCGAGAGGUGUAAGUUCGAGUCUUAUCGCCGUCA